rnacentral:rRNA from 1 species
CAGCCGCCGCGGGAAUACGAAGGGUGCAAGCGUUACUCGGAAUUACUGGGCGUAAAGCGUGCGUAGGUGGUGGUUUAAGUCCGUUGUGAAAGCCCUGGGCUCAACCUGGGAAUUGCAGUGGAUACUGGGUCACUAGAGUGUGGUAGAGGAUAGUGGAAUUUCCGGUGUAGCAGUGAAAUGCGUAGAGAUCGGAAGGAACAUCUGUGGCGAAGGCGACCACCUGGACUGAUACUGACACUGAGGUGCGAAAGCGUGGGGAGCAAACAGGAUUAGAUACCCGGGUAGUCCCUGUCUCUUAUAA